CAGCAGCCGCGGUAAUACGAAGGUCCCGAGCGUUGUUCGGAAUCACUGGGCGUAAAGGGAGCGUAGGCGGCGUGGUAAGUCAGAUGUGAAAUCCCGGGGCUCAACCCCGGAACUGCAUCCGAUACUGCCAUGCUAGAGGAUUGGAGAGGUAGCUGGAAUUCUUGUUGUAGCAGUGAAAUGCGUGGAGAUCAAGAGGAACACUCGUGGCGAAAGCGAGCUACUGGACAAUAACUGACGCUGAGGCUCGAAGGCCAGGGUAGCGAAAGGGAUUAGAGACCCCCGUAGUCCCUGUCUCUUAUAA
rnacentral:rRNA from 1 species